AAAAUACUGUGUAAUGACAAUUAUUGAAACAAUAAUAAUAUAAAUAUCAAUGCAGCAAUUAUUGAAUCAAUAAGAUAAAAUAAUGAACAGUAAUUACUGUAACAAUUAUUGAGUAGUGCCUUCUUACGUAAGGAUCAAUAAUUCAACAAUACUGUGCAAUACCGUGUGCUACUGUGCAACCACGCGUAUUACUGUAUUUUAACCACCAGGUAACCCAACAGUGUUAACGGUAGUAAUUUACGUCGUUAUUUAUAAAACUCAAUUUUUGUCGUUUUCCUUCAUCCAACCGUUUUCCGUUAUGGGGCCCACCAAUGACUGUGCCGUCGUACGGAGAUUCCCGAC
rnacentral:lncRNA from 1 species